UCUGAAUUUGAACCCUUUAUAUUUGAAUUUGAAUGGCUAAACUUGAAUAAUUGCAUUGAAAAACUGAAUUUGAAUCACAUAAUUUGAAAUUGUAUUGUUUAUUUAAAAUUGAAUUUAUUCAAAAACUGAAUCUGAAUUGUAUCAUUUGAAAUUGAAUUUAUUCGUUUGGAACUGAAGUCCAAUAAAAUUUGAUCCUCACUGAAAAUUAAACUCUCUAUAUAUCUUCACAUUCACUUCUCACAAUUCAGAUUCAGUUCUCAAAUUCAAUUUCAAGUUACUGAGACAGACAUCCGGGUAGUUGGAGGAUGAAGGAAGAGCAAUCGAGCGCAGAUCGAUAGAUAGCGUUCAUUGGCGCACAGGACUCCUCUUGGGCCAAUCAGCACCAAUGUUUUGGAGCACAGGGCGUUACCCGCCAUGAAACAAAGAAGAAGUGCUGCCUGACUUGCGUGACCACCACCAUGGAUUCGGCUGGGACAAAUACGAUUCCUGCUGCUCCAGUAGCUCUGAUCGACUUCUCCUCUGCUAAAGCCAAAAAAAAAAAAGCUUGACCGUUCUAUUGAUGGCAGGACAACUGAAAACCAGUUAUGGAUGCAAACAUGAAGCACAAGCCAGAGGAGUCUAUGAGAAGCUGAUGGGUCGGGAGCAUGCAGGCUUCUCCUGUAUGGACAGUGGUCUCUGGCUGAACCCCAAGUGGCCAUACAUGGGGUCCU